rnacentral:rRNA from 1 species
UGGGGAAUAUUGCACAAUGGGCGAAAGCCUGAUGCAGCGACGCCGCGUGAGGGAUGACGGCCUUCGGGUUGUAAACCUCUUUCAGUAGGGACGAAGCGCAAGUGACGGUACCUGCAGAAGAAGCACCGGCUAACUACGUGCCAGCAGCCGCGGUAAUACGUAGGGUGCGAGCGUUGUCCGGAAUUACUGGGCGUAAAGAGAUCGUAGGCGGUUUGUCACGUCGUCUGUGAAAUCCUAGGGCUUAACCCUGGACGUGCAGGCGAUACGGGCUGACUUGAGUACUACAGGGGAGACUGGAAUUUCUGGUGUAGCGGUGGAAUGCACAGAUAUCAGGAAGAACACCGAUGGCGAAGGCAGGUCUCUGGGUAGUAACUGACGCUGAGGAGCGAAAGCAUGGGUAGCGAACAGG